UAUCAAUAAGCGGAGGAAAAGAAACUAACAAGGAUUCCCCUAGUAACGGCGAGUGAAGCGGGAAGAGCUCAAAUUUAAAAUCUGGCGGUGUAUUCCGUCCGAGUUGUAGUCUAGAGAAGCAUCAUCCGUGCUGGACCAUGUACAAGUCUCUUGGAACAGAGCGUCAUAGAGGGUGAGAAUCCCGUCCUUGACAUGGACUCCCAGUACUUUGUGUUGUGCUCUCAACGAGUCGAGUUGUUUGGGAAUGCAGCUCAAAAUGGGUGGUAAAUUCCAUCUAAAGCUAAAUAUUGGCGAGAGACCGAUAGCGAACAAGUACCGUGAGGGAAAGAUGAAAAGCACUUUGGAGAGAGAGUUAAACAGUACGUGAAAUUGUUGAAAUGGAAACGCUUGAAGUCAGUCGCGUUCUCUGGGAUUCAGCCUUGCUUUGCUUGGUGCAUUUCCUAGUCUACGGGCCAACAUGAAUUUCGACCGGUGGAAAAAGGCAGAGGGAAUGUGGCACUCCGGGUGUGUUAUAGCCCUUUGUCAGACACGCCGGUUGGGAUUGAGG
rnacentral:rRNA from 1 species